rnacentral:lncRNA from 1 species
CUAGCAUCAGCUGAAGUUUAAAGAUCAUCCCUGUAAACCUGCUCUGGCUUUCAGUUUUCAUAGAUGAUGUUUCCUUUUCCCAGGAAGGAGAUACAUGUUGGCAACAUCUAAACUUGUCUUGUUUAAUCUAAUAUCACUCAAUUCAUUUAGAGGCUUAGUCCUAGACUUUCCUCUCUUUGGUUUGUUUUUAUUGUAUUUCUGGAGAAAUGCAGCUCAAAGUGCUCUUGUGAAACUCGGUAAAAUUUUGCUUAGUUUUAAACCUACACCCCAGAUACAGGAUGUACUAGAGAUGGUUCUGGCUCUAACAAGAACACUGUGCCUACCACAAAGAUUUGAUUCCUACCUACAUAGUGCCUUGUGAUGAUUCCUGUAUUUUUGCCUUAAAUGGAAUUUAUGGAGAAGACAUUUUUGAGAUGCAGUCUUAGAGAUUAGUGAAGAUUUAACUAAAACAUUGAUACUACAUGGUCUAAAUGAGGCAGAGAGAGCAUUUUAGAUGUGAUUCCGGGCCACCACAUUGCAUCAUUCUAGGAGCUGCCAUUGACAUUGUCUUCUUUGCAUGCCCCAAGGAGUGUUCAUCCCCAUAAUAGAAAAUGAUAAGAGAAAAUCUGAGAUGCUCUGCUGUAAUUUGCAACAUUGUUUUGCUACCUAAAUGUCAGACACAGCACAUAGGCACUUGCUAAAACGAAUAGAAAAAAAUGAGGACCACCAUCAAUUCCAACAUUGAGAACUCGUAUUUUAGUUGGAAAGAAAUGCACACAGUUUGGAAUCCUAUGUAAUCAAGAUAAGAGAACAACAAUUUUCCAAAUGCUUUCCGUGGGCCAGCGUGGAAACUUAACUCUCUCACACAGACAACGAGAUUACACUCUGACACCAAGCCCUGCCCUUGUGGGAAGUAUGAUAAGCCUCAAGGCAAACAAUUCUUCCUUCGCGAUUGCAGUCUGGGCACCUGAUGAUAUAGAAUGACUCAUUGGACUCCUGCCUCUUCUACUUCAUUCUUACCAUGAGCUCCCCUAGAAGAUGUAGUCUUCCACCGUUACCAAAAUCUGCAACCAGAAAGAUCAAGCUCUAGGAAGCAGUACACACUAUACUCCUGUGUGGAAACAAAGUAAUCCUCAUCAGAUCAUCUAACUUGCUGUUGCUGUAAGGACUGUGAAUUGGUAGCAAUAAAUAAGCCAUGGGAAAUAGGAGGGAAAACACCAUCAAUGACAAUAAAAACUGAAUGUGAAA